UACGUAGGUGGCAAGCGUUGUCCGGAUUUAUUGGGUUUAAAGGGUGCGUAGGCGGUUCUAUAAGUCAGUGGUGGAAUCCGGCAGCUUAACUGUCGAUGUGCCAUUGAUACUGUAGGACUUGAGUACUGAUGAGGUAGGCGGAAUUGACGGUGUAGCGGUGAAAUGCUUAGAUAUCGUCAAGAACACCGAUAGCGAAGGCAGCUUACUAAGGAGUAACUGACGCUGAUGCACGAAAGUGUGGGGAUCAAACAGG
rnacentral:rRNA from 1 species